rnacentral:rRNA from 1 species
AGUGAACGCUGGCGGUAGGCCUAACACAUGCAAGUCGAACGGCAGCACAGUAAGAGCUUGCUCUUCCGGGUGGCGAGUGGCGGACGGGUGAGGAAUACAUCGGAAUCUACUUUUUCGUGGGGGUUAACGUAGGGAAACUUACGAUAAUACCGCAUACGACCUACGGGUGAAAGCAGGGGAUAUUCGGACCUUGCGGGAUUGAAUGAGCCGAUGUCGGAUUAGCUAGUUGGCGGGGUAAAGGCCAACCAAGGGGACGAUCCGCAUCUGGUCUGGGAGGAGGAUCAGCGACACUGGAGGGUGGACACGGUCCAGGCUCCUACGGGAGGGAGCAGUGGGGAAUGUGGGACAGUGGGCGCAAGCCUGAUCCAGUCAUACCGCGUGGGUGAAGAAGGCGUUCGGUUUGUAAAGCCCUUUUGUUGGGAAAGAAAAGCAGCAGGUUAAGACGCCGCUGUUCUGACGGUACCCAAAGAAUAAGCACCGGCUAACUUCGUG